AUGGAUCUACACGCGCAACAAGUCAAGUUUGAUCACAAUGGGGGGUUCUUGCGUGCAAGGAUCUCCAUUGACGUUAACAAGCCACUUAAAAGGUGGAUUUUGAUAGAUUCUGCAAGGAGGAAAAGGGUGGAUAUGUGUGAUAUAUCCGAGGAGGAGGCGACUCCGCUUGUGCUUGAUGAUCGGACCGAGGGAGGACCGUUGAAGUGGCUGGUGGCGGGUAAAGUACUCCAUCGAAAUCCUUUUCAUAUCCAAACCAUCACCAACGCGCUUCGUCCGGCAUGGGGUAAUCCACGAGGUCUGCAGUUCCGCUCAGCGGGGCUAAACCCGUUUGUGGCAGAAUUUGAGAACCAACGAGAUAGAGACCGAGUUUGGGGACGAUCGCCAUGGCACAUCAACAAGCAUGCUGUGAUACUGGCAGAGUUUGAUGAUUGCAUGAGGCCUGAUGAGGUAAAGUUUGACAGGCUGCAUAUCUGGGCUAGGGUUAUCAAUCUACCCUACAAUUUGAGGGAUGAAUUGUGGUGGGUGCCAAUUGCUAAGCAGAUGGAUCUACACGCGCAACAAGUCAAGUUUGAUCACAAUGGGGGGUUCUUGCGUGCAAGGAUCUCCAUUGACGUUAACAAGCCACUUAGAAGGUGGAUUUUGAUAGAUUCUGCAAGGAGGAAAAAGGUGGAUAUGUAUGAUAUAUCCGAGGAGGAGUACCGUACUUUUGCUUCUCCUGCGGCAGAUUGGGACACUCUGAACUCUAUUGUCCAACACCAGGAUCUAGAGAUGAGAAAGGGGAGCUUCCGUUCGGUCCUACGCUGCGUGCACCGGACGAAUCAAGCUAUAAUGAUGGAUCUUCCAGGGAGCCGAAGUCUGGUGCGACUAGCAAACCAACCACGAGAAACUCUACCACCAACAAGGACACCGGAGACGAGGUGGUCUCCCCCCACAAGAACAAGCCACCGCCGAAACGUAAGGAGACCCCAAACCAGGUUUAUAGGCCUGUGGCGAAGACCUUGCUUCUCACCGGGGGAGGAUCGGAUGCAGAUGGAAUUGGCACUAGUAAAACUGAUGAAGAUCCAACUUCAGCUAGCAAUGAUACUGGAAUUUUGUUCGCGAGCAGAAAAAGAAGAAGCCCACUCCUGA
rnacentral:rRNA from 1 species